CGCCAUCGCGUCUAGGGUUCCGGCCGUUUCCACGGUGACUGGUCCGAGAGUCGCAAUCCGCUCCGCAAGGGGCGGACACACGGAGGGAUAAAAGCCCGGGAGGU
rnacentral:sRNA from 1 species